rnacentral:rRNA from 1 species
GACGAACCGUGCGAACGUUAUUCGGAAUCACUGGGCUUAAAGCGCGUGUAGGCGGGACGGCACGUCUGUCGCUGAAAUCCCCCGGCUUAACCGGGGAACUGGCGUAGAUACGACCGUCCUUGAGGGGCGUAGGGGGACCUGGAACUUCCGGUGGAGCGGUGAAAUGCGUAGAUAUCGUAAGGAAGACCAGUGGCGAAGGCGGGUCUCUGGACAGUUCCUGACGCUGAGGCACGAAGGCCAGGGGAGCAAACGGGG